rnacentral:rRNA from 1 species
CAGCCGCCACGGUAAUACGUAGGUCCCGAGCGUUGUCCGGAUUUAUUGGGCGUAAAGCGAGCGCAGGCGGUUAGAUAAGUCUGAAGUUAAAGGCUGUGGCUUAACCAUAGUACGCUUUGGAAACUGUUUAACUUGAGUGCAAGAGGGGAGAGUGGAAUUCCAUGUGUAGCGGUGAAAUGCGUAGAUAUAUGGAGGAACACCGGUGGCGAAAGCGGCUCUCUGGCUUGUAACUGACGCUGAGGCUCGAAAGCGUGGGGAGCAAACAGGAUUAGAUACCCCGAGUAGUCCCUGUCUCUUAUAC